CACGUAGGGCGCAAGCGUUGUCCGGAAUUAUUGGGCGUAAAGAGCUCGUAGGCGGUCUGUUGCGUCCGCUGUGAAAACUCGGGGCUUAACCCCGAGCCUGCAGUGGAUACGGGCAGACUAGAGGUAGGUAGGGGAGAAUGGAAUUCCCGGUGUAGUGGUGAAAUGCGUAGAUAUCGGGAGGAACACCAGUGGCGAAGGCGACUUUCUGGCCUGUUCUUGACGCUGAGGCGCGAAAGCUAGGGUAGCAAACGGG
rnacentral:rRNA from 1 species